rnacentral:rRNA from 1 species
AGGGGUUUGAUCAUGGGCUCAGAUUGAACGCUGGCGGCAUGCUUAACGCAUGCAAGUCGAACGGCAGCGCGGGGAGCUUGCUCCCUGGCGGCGAGUGGCGGACGGGUGAGUAACGCGUAGGAAUCUACCCAGUAGUGGGGGACAACCCGGGGAAACUCGGGCUAAUACCGCAUACGCCCUACGGGGGAAAGGGGGGGACCUCUUCGGAGGCCUCUCGCUAUUGGGUGAGCCUGCGUCGGAUUAGCUUGUUGGUAGGGUAAUGGCCUACCAAGGCGACGAUCUGUAGCUGGUCUGAGAGGACGAUCAGCCACACUGGGACUGAGACACGGCCCAGACUCCUACGGGAGGCAGCAGUGGGGAAUAUUGGACAAUGGGGGCAACCCUGAUCCAGCAAUGCCGCGUGUGUGAAGAAGGUCUUCGGGUUGUAAAGCACUUUCAGUGGGGAAGAAAAGCUUGAGGUUAAUACCCUCGGGUCUUGACGGUACCUACAGAAGAAGCACCGGGCUAACUCCGUGCCAGCAGCCGCGGUAAUACGGAGGGUGCGAGCGUUAAUCGGAAUCACUGGG